rnacentral:rRNA from 1 species
GUUCGGGUUCCGCGGGACGGGGCCGCCCCGCGAGGGACGGCGCCGCCCCGGGGCUCGUGAUAUCUCAUCUCGCCGCCCGUCGCGAGGCGGACGGAGGGAUGGAUGAGGUUACCUGGAAAAAAUCGGGGCGAUCUAGGCGGGCGAACCUCGCCAACGAACGAUCGGACAUGGGAUAACGGAAGAGGGCGUCGGCUCGACUUCGUCGGUUCCUCGGGCCGAGGCACGUACGGUGAAUAGGGGACGGUCGGGGCCGCCCGUACCGGGUCGUGAGAGGUGAAAUUCUAGGAUCGACCCGAGACGAACCGCCGCGAAAGCAUUCGGCAAGGACGCUUUCAUUAAUCAAGAACGAAAGUCGGGGAUCGAAGACGAUCAGAUACCGUCGUAGUCCCGACCGUAAACGAUGCCGACCGAGGGCCCGGAGGAGUUACGUACGACCCUCCGGGCCCUCCCGCGAGAAAUCAGGAGUAUUCGGGUUCCGGGGG